UACGGAGGGAGCUAGCGUUUGUUCGGAAUUACUGGGCGUAAAGCGCACGUAGGCGGCUUUUUAAGUCAGGGGUGAAAUCCCGGGGCUCAACCCCGGAACUGCCCUUGAAACUGGAGAGCUAGAAUCUUGGAGAGGCGAGUGGAAUUCCGAGUGUAGAGGUGAAAUUCGUAGAUAUUCGGAAGAACACCAGUGGCGAGGCGACUCGCUGGACAAGUAUUGACGCUGAGGUGCGAAAGCGUGGGGAGCAAACAGG
rnacentral:rRNA from 1 species